rnacentral:rRNA from 1 species
UACAGAGGUCUCAAGCGUUGUUCGGAUUUAUUGGGCGUAAAGGGUGCGUAGGCGGCAAUGUAAGUCGGAUGUGAAAUCCUGGGGCUUAACCUCAGAAUUGCAUUCAAUACUGCGUUGCUUGAGCGCUGUAGAGGAGAUUGGAAUUUACGGUGUAGCAGUGAAAUGCGUAGAUAUGUGGAGGAACACCGAUGGCGAAGGCAGCCUCCUGGGCCAACACUGACGCUCAUGCACGAAAGCGUGGGGAGCAAACAGG